rnacentral:rRNA from 1 species
GAUGAACGCUAGCGGCAGGCCUAAUACAUGCAAGUCGAACGGUGUCUUCGGACAUAGUGGCGCACGGGUGCGUAACACGUAUGCAACCUACCUUACAUUGGGGGAUAGCCUUUCGAAAGGGAGAUUAAUACCGCAUAAGAAAGUAGCUGGGCAUCCAGCAGCUGUUAAAGAUUUAUCGAAGUAAGGUGGGCAUGCGUCCAAUUAGCUAGUUGGUGAGGUAACGGCUCACCAAGGCAAUGAUUGGUAGGGGAACUGAGAGGUCAAUCCCCCACACUGGCACUGAGAUACGGGCCAGACUCCUACGGGAAGCAGCAGUAGGGAAUAUUGGGCAAUGGACGCAAGUCUGACCCAGCCAUGCCGCGUGCAGGAUGAAGGCGUUAUGCGUUGUAAACUGCUUUUAUACAGGAAGAAACGACUCUUGCGAGAGGCAUUGACGGUACUGUAUGAAUAAGCACCGGCUAACUCCGUGCCAGCAGCCGCGGUAAAAC